UUAAGAAAGCUGAUGUUGUGAAGAAUGCUGCUCUUUUUAAUGUACUAGUGAUGCCAAAACUUUAUGGUGACAUUAUUAGUGACCUUUGUGCUGGCUUGGUUGGGUGUUUGGGCUUGACACCAAGGUAAUUUUUCCACUUUGGUAAACAAAUUCUAGAAGCUACAAUCUUAUCAACUGGCAUCAUUGGUGAGGCCGUGAGGGAGGUAUUGCUCUAGCUGAGGUUGUACAUGGUUUAGCACCUGAUAUUGCUGGAAAGAAUUUGGCAUAUCCAAGUGCUUGACUGCUGAGCGGUGUUUCAGUGUUGCGCCAUUUGAGUCUCCAUGACAAAGUGGACCAAAUUCACAAUGCCAUCCUCAACACAAUUGCAGAAGGGAAGUACCGAACUGCUGAUCUUGGAGGCAAAGCAAAGACAACAGAGUUUGUGAAUGAAAUUAUUGAUCAUCUCUUGAGUAGGCAAGGAAUUGCUGCACAUUACGGCGCUCUUAGAAUACUGUAAAACUCUGUUAAUCCCAAUAAUGAUGUGUGAUACACACUGCAACCAAAUAUUAAGACAAGAAAACGCCUUCUCACACCAUGCGAGAUACUUCCAAAAAGAAAAAGACCACACAAAUGCUUCUCGUAUCAUGUGAUAAACCCAUGUCAUAUUCUGGUGUUUCACCACUAAAAUGGCUUCUAUUUUGCUGUGUAACCGCGUUUGCUGCUUCUAUUAUAUCCAACCUUCUAUGGCUAUAUGUAUUCCCACUUUUUUUUUCCUUUUUUCAAUACUCCAACUUUGACUACUAAGGCUUUUGUGUGUGUUUGUUUUCUUUUAAUGGAUUAUAUUUGAUAACA